GCAUUGGUGGUUCAGUGGUGGAAUUCUAGCUUGCCAUGUUGGAGGCCUGGGUUCGAUUCCCAGCCAAUGCA
rnacentral:tRNA from 1 species